rnacentral:rRNA from 1 species
GACGAAGGGGGCUAGCGUUGUUCGGAAUUACUGGGCGUAAAGCGCGUGUAGGCGGUUGCCAUAGUCAGGUGUGAAAGCCUUGAGCUUAACUCAAGAAAUGCACUUGAUACUGGGCGACUAGAGGACCGGAGAGGAUAGUGGAAUUCCCAGUGUAGUGGUGAAAUACGUAGAGAUCAGGUGGAACACCGAUGGCGAAGGCAGCCUCCUGGACGGGUACUGACGCUGAGGCGCGAAAGCGUGGGGAGCGAACGGG